CUACGGGUUGCUGCAGUGGGGAAUAUUGCACAAUGGGGGAAACCCUGAUGCAGCGACGCCGCGUGAAGGAAGAAGGUCUUCGGAUCGUAAACUUCUAUCAGCAGGGAAGAAACAAAUGACGGUACCUGACUAAGAAGCUCCGGCUAACUACGUGCCAGCAGCCGCGGUAAUACGUAGGGAGCGAGCGUUAUCCGGAUUUACUGGGUGUAAAGGGUGCGUAGGCGGCCUGGCAAGUUAGAAGUGAAAUUUUGGGGCUCAACCCCAGAGCUGCUUCUAAAACUACCGGGCUAGAGUGCAGGAGAGGAAAGCGGAACUCCACGUGUAGCGGUGAUAUGCGUAGAGAUGUGGAGGAACACCAGUAGCGAAGGCGGCUUUCUGGACUGUAACUGACGCUGAGGCACGAAAGCGUGGGGAGCAAACAGGAUUAGAUACCCGCGUAGUC
rnacentral:rRNA from 1 species